AAUUAACACGUACAAAUAGUUAAUUGCAAUUAAUUAUUAUAAAUACGGCAAAAAUCCGACAACUCUUUUGCCUAGUCAAUAGAGCAAGUAGGGAGCAAUUUUUUGAGUAAAAAAAAAAUUGUAUAAAGUGUAUUAUUUUUUUAAUUAUAAAAAUUUUAAUUUUCCAAGUUAACAAUUUUUUAAAAAAUUAAUUAUUAAUUAACUAUUAAUCAUACACCUGGAGCAAUUGUGGAUUCUGGAAGAGCAUUUGAGGAGCAAUUAAUUGGCAUAUAGUUUUAAAAAAAAAAAAAAAAAUUCUACGCUAACUUCCUUCCGGUCGCUGAGUGAAGAUUCUAAAAUUAUCUCAGUAUUUAAUUAAGAUAAUGAGAUACAAUUCAAAUAUUAUAUAAAAAAUAAUUUAUUAACAACUUUUAUACAAUAAAAAUACUAAAUGUACGGAUGUUUUAAUAGUUCUACAAUUAUUAUAAGUUUAUAAUUAUGAACUGAGGUAAGUUGUUUUAACAGCUAAUUUAAUAAGUAAAAAUAAAACUGCAAGGAAUUAAUGGUUGUUAAAAUUUAUUAUUAAAUAAAAAUAAAUAUCAAAUGGAAUACAAAAUAACACAUAAUAGAGAGAUUCUUAAGGAUCCUGCAAAAUGAGGUUUAAAUGUUCAAUAUUGCCAAUAUUUGGUAGCUGUUCACCUGCAAAAAAAGAAAAAAAUAGUAAUAAUUUCUAUUAAAAAUCUGGAAAGGUUCAAAUAUCUAUAAUUUUCAAACUGUCUACACGGAAGUUUUUGACUCACGUUGAUUAUCAUUUAAAAUUAAAAAUAUUGAAUCAUGAAGAUCCCGAUUCACUGCAGCGUGUAGAAAUUCUUGUAACGUAGAAUUGAAUCUCAAAGAUGCUUGAAGAUGCUGAAUGCGGAUGUCAUGAUGACGCUGAACUGAUCGACGUUGACGAUUGAUAUCAAUGCCGGCAUCUAACUAAUCUAACUUUUCCUUAAUUAAUGUUAAUGUCGUAUGCGAAAAAAGCGUCAAAGUACCCUGGGGUGGCGGAUCCGAACACACCAAUUGAAAUAAAACAACAAAAAAUAUAUAAUUCAUGAAUUAUUUGAAAUAUAUAUACAUAUAUGUACAUAUACAUACAUAUACAAAUACAUAUACAUAUACACAUAUGUAUUUUAAAUAUACUUAUACAUAUGUAUAUAUGGGCCGUAGUCCCGUAUAUGCAACCUGUCUCGUAGAUUGUCUUGC